AACGCGAAGAACCUUACCUGGGCUCGAAAUGUAGAGGACUAGGCAAGAGAUUGUCUAUCCCGAAAGGGUCUCUAUAUAGGUGCUGCAUGGCUGUCGUCAGCUCGUGCCGUGAGGUGUUUGGUUAAGUCCAGCAACGAGCGCAACCCUUAUCGUUAGUUGCCAGCGCGUAAUGGCGGGAACUCUAACGAGACUGCCUAGGUUAACUAGGAGGAAGGUGAGGAUGACGUCAAGUCCGCAUGGCCUUUAUGUCCAGGGCUACACACGUGCUACAAUGGUCGGUACAGAAGGCAGCGAAACCGCGAGGUGGAGCAAAUCCUAGAAAACCGAUCUCAGUUCGGAUUGCAGUCUGCAACUCGGCUGCAUGAAGUUGGAAUUGCUAGUAAUGGCGUGUCAGCAACAACGCCGUGAAUACGUUCCCGGGCCUUGUA
rnacentral:rRNA from 1 species